rnacentral:rRNA from 1 species
CGCCUACCAUGCAAGUCGAGCGGGAUUAUAUAUUAGCUUGCUAAUAUAUAUGAGAGCGGCGAACGGGUGAGUAACACGUUGGUACAUGCCCCCAAGUCAGGGAUAGCCUAGUGAAAACUAGAUUAAUACCGGAUAGUCUCUUUGGAGUAAAAAUUUAUUGCUUGGGGAGUGGCCUGCGUUCUAUCAGCUAGUUGGUGAGGUAAAGGCUUACCAAGACUAUGACGGAUAACUGGUCUGAGAGGAUGAUCAGUCACAAUGGAACUGAGACACGGUCCAUACUCUUACGGGAGGCAGCAGUGAGGAAUCUUCCACAAUGGACGAAAGUCUGAUGGAGCGACACCGCGUGAAGGAUGAAGGUCUAACGAUUGUAAACUUCUUUUCUGAAGGAGCAUAAUGAGAGUACUUUAGGAAUAAGGGACGGCUAAAUAUGUGCCAGCAGCCGCGGUAAU